rnacentral:rRNA from 1 species
GUCUACGGCCAUACCACCCUGAACGCGCCCGAUCUCGUCUGAUCUCGGAAGCUAAGCAGGGUCGGGCCUGGUUGGUACGUGGAUGGGAGAUAUUUCAUUGCUGAAUACU